UCGGCAGACGUGGUCCAGA
rnacentral:miRNA from 1 species